AUACUUACCUGGCAUGGGAGAUACCUUGAUCACAAAGGUGGUUUUUCCAGGGCGAGGCUUAUCCAUUGCACCCUGACCUCUGUGAUUUCCCCAAAUGCGGGGAAAACUCGACUGCAUAAUUUGUGGUAGUGGGGGACUGUGUUCGUGCUCUCCCCUG